rnacentral:rRNA from 1 species
GUUGUAGCAAUACGGCUUUGAAGGCGGCGCACGGGUGCGUAACACGUAUGCAACCUACCUUUUACUGGGGAAUAGCCUCUCGAAAGAGAGAUUAAUACCCCAUGAUAUGUUUUGAAGGCAUCUUCAGAAUCUUAAAGCUCCGGCGGUAAAAGAUGGGCAUGCGGUUGAUUAGCUAGUUGGUGAGGUAAUGGCUCACCAAGGCUUCGAUCAAUAGGGGGUCUGAGAGGAUGUCCCCCCACGCUGGUACUGAGACACGGACCAGACUCCUACGGGAGGCAGCAGUAGGGAAUAUUGGACAAUGGGCGCAAGCCUGAUCCAGCCAUGCCGCGUGCAGGAUGACGGUCCUAUGGAUUGUAAACUGCUUUUGCACAGGAAGAAACAACGCUACGUGUAGCGUCUUGACGGUACUGUGAGAAUAAGGAUCGGCUAACUCCGUGCCAGCAGCCGCGGUAAUACGGAGGAUCCAAGCGUUAUCCGGAAUCAUUGGGUUUAAAGGGUCCGUAGGCGGUUUAGUAAGUCAGUGGUGAAAGCCCAUCGCUCAACGGUGGAACGGCCAUUGAUACUGCUAGACUUGAAUUAUUAGGAAGUAACUAGAAUAUGUAGUGUAGCGGUGAAAUGCUUAGAGAUUACAUGGAAUACCAAUUGCGAAGGCAGGUUGCUACUAAUGGAUUGACGCUGAUGGA